CAAGGCUGGGCUGGGAAGUGGCGGAUCCGGUUUGUUCAGGGCGCAUCUAGAACCCGGGUUGGUGGAUCGAAUGCCGGGAGUCGGAUAGGUUUCGGUGGCUGCGGCAGCAUGGUGGGUGCAGAGAAGGAGCAGAGCUGGAUCCCCAAGAUCUUCAAGAAGAAGACGUGCACGACUUUCAUCGUUGACCCCACAGAUGCGGGGGGGACCUUGUGCCAGUGUGGGCAACCCCGGUGUGCCCACCCAUCAGUGGCUGUGGAGGAUGCAUUCGGGGCAGCCGUGGUGACCGUAUGGGACAGUGACUUGCACACCACGGAGAAGCCCACAGAUGCCUUCGGAGACCUGGACUUCCUGGGUGCCGGCCGCAAGGCCAGCAAUUUCCUCCGGCUCUCUGACCGCACGGAUCCAGCUACAGUUUAUAAUCUGGUCACAAACAUAUGGGGCUUCCAGGCCCCGAACCUGGUGGUGUCAGUGCUGGGGGGGUCGGGGGGCCCCACCCUCCAGACUUGGCUGCAGGACCUGCUGCGACGCGGGCUGGUGCGGGCUGCCCAGAACACAGGGGCCUGGAUUGUCACCGGAGGGCUGCACAAGGGCAUUGGACGGCAUGUGGGUGUGGCAGUGCGGGACCACCAGACAGCCAGGACUGGGGGCAACAAGGUGGUGGCCAUGGGCGUGGCCCCCUGGGGUGUGGUUCGGAAUAGAGACACCCUCAUCAACCCCAAGGGCUCGUUUCCUGCAAGGUACCGGUGGCGCGGUGACCCCGAGGAUGGGGUCCAGUUUGCUCUCGACUACAACUAUUCGGCCUUCCUUCUGGUGGACGACGGCACCCACGGCCGCCUGGGCGGCGAGAACCGCUUCCGCUUGGGCUUCGAGUCCUACCUUGCCCAACAGAAGACGGGCGUGGGAGGGACUGGAAUUGACAUCCCUGUCCUCCUUCUCUUGAUUGAUGGUGAUGAAAAGAUGUUGAAGCGGAUAGAGAAGGCCACCCAGGCUCAGCUCCCCUGCCUCCUGGUGGCCGGGUCUGGGGGAGCUGCAGACUGCCUGGCAGAGAUCUACACUCUGGCUCCAGGGAGUGGAGGAGGCAGGCGAUGUGAAGCCCAAGAUCUGAUUAAACGUUUCUUCCCCAAAGGGGACCCUGAGGUCCUACAGGCCCAGGUGGAGAGGAUCAUGAGUCGGAAGGAGCUGCUGACAGUCUAUUCAACUGAUGAUGGCCCUGAGGAAUUUGAGACCAUUGUUUUGAAGGCCCUUGUCAAGGCCUGUGGGACCUCUGAAGCCUCAGCUUACCUGGAUGAGUUGCGUUUGGCUGUGGCUUGGAACCGUGUGGACAUUGCCCAGAGUGAACUCUUCCGGGGGGAUAUCCAGUGGCGGUCUUUCCACCUGGAAGCCUCCCUCAUGGACGCCCUUCUGAAUGACCGGCCAGAGUUCGUGCGCUUGCUCAUCUCCCAUGGCCUUAGCCUGGGCCACUUCCUGACCCCUACGCGCCUGGCCCAGCUCUACAACGCAGCGCCCCCGAACUCACUUAUCCACAGCCUUUUGGACCAGGUGUCCCACAGCACAGGCAACAAAGGCCCAGUCUCUGAACCCUCUGCGGAGCCACAACCCCCUAAGGUGGGGCAGGUGCUGCGGAUGCUGCUGGGGAAGUCGUGCGCGCCGACGUUCCCCGCCGGGGGCACCCACCUGGGCGAUGGCAGCAUGGAAAAUUCGUUUCUGCCGUGGGACAAGGCCACCUCAGAAUUUCUGCUGGAAGCCGUCCCCGAGCAGGCACCCUGGAGUGACCUGCUCCUCUGGGCACUGCUGCUCAACAGGGCUCAGAUGGCCGUGUACUUCUGGGAGAUGGGUUCCAGUUCUGUGGCCUCAGCUCUUGGGGCCUGUUUGUUGCUGCGAGUGCUGGGGCGCCUGGAGGCUGAGACUGAGGAGGCAGCACGGAGGAAGGACCUGGCAGCCAAGUUUGAGGGGCUGGGUGUUGACCUCUUUGGAAAAUGCUACCGCAGCAGCGAGGAACGGGCUGCUCACCUGCUCCUCUGGCGCUGCCCACUCUGGGGGGAUGCCACCUGCCUCCACCUUGCCAUGCAGGCUGACGCCCGUGCCUUCUUUGCCCAGGAUGGGGUACAGUCUCUGCUGACACAGAAGUGGUGGGGGGAGAUGGACAGCACCACACCCAUCUGGGCCCUGGUUCUCGCCUUCUUUUGCCCCCCACUCAUCUACACCAACCUCAUCACCUUCAGGAAGCCAGAUGAGGAGCCCAUGCAGAAGGACCUGGCAUUUGACAUGGACAGGGGCAUCAGUGGGGAAGGGCCUGGCGAGCCCACAGACCCUAAUGAGAAGAUGCCCUUGAGGGUGUUGAGGCCGCCCAGCCGCAGGAGCUGCUGUGGGGGGUGCCGCCUGCGCCGCUGGCCCCAGUUCUGGGGAGCACCGGUGACUUCCUUCAUGGGCAACGUGGUCAGCUACCUCCUCUUCCUGCUGCUCUUCACCCACGUGCUGCUCAUUGACUUCCAGCCCGAGAAACCCAGCGCUCUGGAGCUACUGCUCUACUUCUGGGCCUUCACCCUGCUCUGUGAGGAGUUACGCCAGGGGCUGGGUGACAGCUUGGGCAGCCUGGCCAUGGGGGCCCCCAGGACAGACUCCCACCAGGCCCCACUGCGCCGCCGCCUGCACCUCUACCUCUCAGACGCCUGGAACCAGUGCGACAUGGUGGCCCUGACCUGCUUCCUCAUGGGCGUGGGCUGCCGGCUGACCGCAGGACUGUAUGACCUGGGCCGUACUGUCCUCUGCCUCGACUUCAUGAUCUUCACGCUGAGGCUGCUGCACAUCUUCACAGUCAACAAACAUCUGGGGCCCAAGAUCGUCAUCGUGAACAAGAUGAUGAAGGACGUGUUCUUCUUCCUCUUCUUCCUUGGCGUGUGGCUGGUUGCCUAUGGGGUGGCCACGGAGGGGCUCCUUAGGCCCCAGGACCGUAACCUCUCGAAUAUCCUGCGCCGGGUCUUCUACCGGCCCUACCUGCAGAUCUUUGGGCAGAUCCCCCAGGAGGACAUAGACGCGAGCCUCAUGAAGCCCGACAACUGUUCAUCGGAGAAGGGCAUAUGGGCGCGCCCCUCAGGGACCCAGGCAGGCUCCUGCGUCUCGAUUUAUGCCAACUGGCUGGUGGUGGUCCUCCUCAUCAUCUUCCUGCUCGUGGCCAACAUCCUGCUGGUCAAUUUGCUCAUCGCGAUGUUCAGCUAUACCUUCGGCAAAGUACAGGCCAACAGCGACCUCUACUGGAAGGCGCAGCGCUACAGCCUCAUCCGGGAAUUUCACUCUCGGCCCGCACUGGCCCCGCCUCUCAUCGUCAUCUCGCACGUGUGCUUACUCAUCCGUCGAUUGCGCAGGCUCCGGACCAGCUUGCCACCUUCCGCAGCCGUCGAGCAUUUUCGGGUCCACCUCUCGAAGGAAGCGGAGCGGAAGCUGUUGACGUGGGAGUCAGUGCAAAAGGAGAGUUUCCUGCUGGAGCGAGCUCGGGACAAGCGGGAGAGCGACUCUGAAAGUCUGAAGCGCACGUCGCAGAAGGUGGACACAGCACUGCAGCAGCUGAGACAGAUCCGCGAGCACGAGCAGCGUCUGAAAGGACUGGAACAGGAGGUCCUCCCUGUUCCCCAGGUCCAGUACUGUAGCCGUGUCCUGGGCUGGGUAGCCGAGGCCCUGAGCCGCUCUGCAUUACUUCCCCCAGGGGGGCCGCCGCCCCCAGCCUCACCUGGGCCUAAAGACUCAGCCCUGCUGGUGGACUUCAAAGAGGAGCUGCCAUAGGGAGUUUUGGUCCCAGAGUAAGGCCUAGCAGGUCCUUGACCCCUGCACCUCGCGACCUUGUCCUUGAGGUGAACCUCAUGCCCAUGGACUACCACCUCAGCUGCUGUCACGAUCACUGCAGGGAGUGUCAUCCAUGCAAACCACAGCAGGCUUGGAUCCUCCCAGAACCAGCCCUACUCUGGGAGCAUGAGCCGCUGGAGCCCAGGCAUUCAUUGCCUUUCAAGGCUGUACCACAGUCUGCUGGGCCAGAGAAGGCUGCAGGGUCAUUGAGGCCCAGCACCUCUUGUCUGCACUAUUUUGAUGACUCUCACUUCAGUGGGACAAGAACCCCAACCAUCUGUACCCCCCCAUUCCUGCCUACCAAUGAAAGAAGAACUCAGAGAUAAAAAGGAGAGUAUUUCCUGGAGUGGGGGUGGGUGGGUGCUAUGUACAUCUGCUUUGGCAAUAGGGGUACAGAUGAUGCAAAUUUGAGUAGAUAACUGCAUAUGUGUCUUUAAAAAGUCUAAUUAGUGGAAAAUUGCAGGCCAUGCACGCACGGAAUUGAGGCAAAUAUGCAUCAUUAUACAUGCCGUUUAACUAAACAACCCAUAACAAACUAAACUGGUAAUGACAAGGUUGAACUGACAGCAAUUAUUAGUAAAAUAGCAAAAAAGCCACCAACAACCAACACAUCCAUAAAUGCAAACCAAAACAUCCUUUUUCCAAAUUGGAGGAAUUCCAACUGUCUGCCACUUUGGAUGCAGAGUAGCUCUGAAAUAUUGCCAAGUGUUUUGUGGCAACCAGAUUUCUCUGGAAGAUGCUGAAUCAAUUCUCACUAACACAAGUAGUAAUAAUAACAGUAAUGACGACGGUGGCAACAACAACAGCUAACACGAGUGCUAUGUGUCUGGCAUUGUGUUUAAGUUCUUCACAGGUGCUAAAUCAAGGAAUUCUCAUGACAACCAUAUAUUAGGUAGGUACUAAUGUCUCCAUUUGCAGAUAAGAAAACUGAGGCACUAAUAAAAGUUAAGUGACUCACACAAGGUCUCACAGCUAGAAAGUGGCCGAGUUUGAAUAGGAAUCUGGGCCAUCUGGAUCCAGAGCCUUUGUAAAGCACUAAUUUAUAUUUAGAAAUGUUAAAUGUUACGAAGCCCUAGGAAUUCACUCAGUGGGCAUGCUGCUUUAUUAAGCUGUUGUCUCUCAGCUCCAAAUCUGCCCUUCUGUAUACUCAGCUCUGUGACGCUGGGGCUGGGACUCCGCAAGCCCCAUUUGUUUUGCCAGCUGGGUUCCUAUUAGACUCUGCCUAGAGGGGGCGCUAGAGGGAGAACGGUGACUGGAGGAGGAAGAGGGGAUUUGCUGCUUCCUAUUCCUGAGCGUAGCCCCAGAGCAUUGCUUUCUCUGGUUGCAGCUUUCAGCUUCCCCCGCCCCAGCACUCCCACAAGUUCUGUUUAUGCCCUCAGUCACACCCGCUCCAUCCAGGCAGCCCCUUUAUCUAGCCUGAGUUUCAGCUCCCAGGGUCACGUCUCCAAGAGUUUAGGUUCUGAUAACUCUGUUCUCUCCAGUCCUGGGGGUGAUAUUUGCUUCGUGCAGUUUACUAUUUCUGUGCUAACUCUGCUUCUUUAUAUUUAUUUACCAGUUUUCUGAGACCCGUUUAAUAUAUCUGAGACCCCUGUAUUAAUUUAUUUCUGUUGGAGAGAUACAACCUCCACUUCAUUUCCACACAUAAAUCAGUUUGGAAACCAAAAGACCUGUAAUUGAAGAGGAGGCUAGGCGCUCUUGAGGAAUUACAAAAUACUGCUAAAAUUUAUAUUUAAAUCUUUCUUACUUGUAUAUUUUCCCGCAGUGAACCUACUUCACUUCUCUGUUGCACAGCCCUAGUACAGUGGGAAUCCUGGCCCCUUAAAAUGACAAUUGGUGACCACAAAUGUCUCCACUUGUCUUGGUGCUGUGUUUUUGGAAGCCACACCACAGAGUUUAACUGGGCCAUUACAAAGGUGGAAGAUACUUCCUUUUAGGAGUGAGGAGGACCUCUUGCAGGUCACCAGCAAGGCCAGUAAGUGACUGGGUGUCCAUUAACCAAGAGUGAGCAGCAUAGCCAUGAUCUGCUACUCUAGGGUCCUCCGGAGGGGUUGCUGAGGGCAUGCAACAGCUGUGGCAUUCACUAGCCUGUGAUCCAAAAGAACCCAUAAGAUAUCUGCUCCAGUCUCAGAUGUGGGAAGGGAGUGACUGUCAGUAGAAUAUGUAAGCCACUAAAAUCUUAAACAAAUAAGUCAUUUGAAAGAGAGGUGUAUUUUAUACAAAAAUGAAAACUCCAGAUAAGAGGCUGCAGGUCGUCAGAGAAAAGGAGGCAGCAGGGUGGAGUGAGGACUCUAGAAUGCAUGUGCUUUGUGAAGGCUGAGGACCUGCUACAUUAAAGGGACAAGUGGGGCUAGAGGAGACAGCUGUAAAGGCUGCUCAAAGCUGCCGCCAAAAACUGGAAUGGAUUUGGUAGCUCCUGUGAAGCCUACUUAGACAAGCCAAGGGGCUGAUACGCAAACCUAGAUUGAAUUAGAGAAAACUGGGUAUCGGAUAUGUUUUUGUUUCUCUUGGGUAAACACCUAAGAUUGGGGUGUCUGGGUUGUAUAAUAAGCGGGAUCUUAGUUCCCCAACCAGGGAUUGAACCCGGGCCCCGACAGUGAAAGUGCCGAGUCCUAACCACUGGACUACCAGGGAAUUCCACUGUAUAACUUUAUCUGAGGCUGCUUAACUCUUUUCCUAAGUGGUUGCACAUUUUACAUUUCCAUCAGCAAUGUUAUGAGAGAAUUUCAGUUGCUCUGCAUCCUCACUAGCACUUGCUAUUAUCAGUAUUUUAAA